rnacentral:rRNA from 1 species
CGGCCGCGUCGACGAACGCUGGCGGCGUGCUUAACACAUGCAAGUCGAACGGUGAAGCACCUUCCUUUUGGUGGGUGUGGAUGAGUGGCGAACGGGUGAGUAACACGUGAGUAACCUGCCCCCUUCUUCUGGAUAACCGCAUGAAAGUGUGGCUAAUACGGGAUAUUCUGGGUCUGUCGCAUGGCGGGUCUGGGAAAGAUGCGCCUUUGGGUGUUUUUGGUGGGGGAUGGGCUCGCGGCCUAUCAGCUUGCUGGUGGGGUGAUGGCCUACCAAGGCGGUGACGGGUAGCCGGCCUGAGAGGGUGGACGGUCACACUGGGACUGAGACACGGCCCAGACUCCUACGGGAGGCAGCAGUGGGGGUCGACGCGUGCGGGAUGACGGCCUUCGGGUUGUAAACCGCUUUCGCCUGUGACGAAGCGUGAGUGACGGUAAUGGGU